ensembl:miRNA
AUUUUGAUAUAUAAGGCAGUUUAAUGUUUUCUGUACAAACCCUGGCUUUUCUUAAUUUUUAUAUAUUGGAAAGCCCAUGUUUGUAUUGGAAACUGCUGGUUUCUUUCAUAUUGAAAAUCU